GAUGAACGCUAGCGGCAGGCUUAAUACAUGCAAGUCGAACGGUAAGUUUGGUAGCAAUAUCAAACCAAGAGUGACGUACGGGUGCGUAACACGUAUGCAACCUACCUUGUACAGGAGUAUAGCUCGGGGAAACUCGAAUUAACCCUCCAUGAGAUCAUAGAAUGGCAUCAUUUAGUGAUUAAAACUCAGGUGGUACAAGAUGGGCAUGCGUCUGAUUAGAGUUGGCGGGGUAAUGGCCCACCAAGACGAUGAUCAGUAGGGGACCUGAGAGGGUGAUCCCCACAC
rnacentral:rRNA from 1 species